GAUGAACGCUGGCGGCGUGCCUAAUACAUGCAAGUCGAGCGAACAGACGAGGAGCUUGCUCCUCUGACGUUAGAGGCGGACGGGUGAGUAACACGUGGAUCACCUAUCUAUAAGACUGGGAUAACUUCGGGAAAUCGGAGCUAAUUACGGUUAACAUGUUCAACCGCAAGGUUCAACAGCUAAAGAGGGUUUUGCUGUCACUUCUAGAUGGUACCGCGCUGCAUUAGUUAGUUGGUAAGGUAACGGCUUACCAAGGCAACGAUGCGUUGCUGACCGGAGAGGAGGAUCUGCCACACUGGAACUGUGCCGCGGUCCAGACUCCUACGGGAGGCAACAGAGGGGAAUCGUCCGCAAUGGGCGGAAUCCUGGCGGAGCAACGCCGCGUGAGUGAAGAAGGUCUUCGGAUCUUAAAACUCUGUUAUUAGGGAAGAACAAAAGUGUAAGUAACGAGGCACGUCUUGACGGUACCUAAUCAGAAAGCCACGGCUAACUACGUG
rnacentral:rRNA from 1 species